ensembl:miRNA microRNA 1251
GUCAGCUAUGUGGACUCUAGCUGCCAAAGGCGCUUCUCCUUCUGAACAGAGCGCUUUGCUCAGCCAGUGUAGACAUGGCCUGAU